AAUCACGCUCCUGAAUAUAAAUAAACCAGCAGGAAGGAAGUAAAAGUAACACUUUUCAGUCCAACUGAAGAAAGAUUUGGAGAGAUAAGUGAUGCAGACAAAAUUCUUUGAGGAGAAAGCCUGUAAGCUUGUGAUUGAAUGGACAGACAGUUGACACCCACAGGCUCCCAAAAUCCAGCUACUGCUGAAAUUAUCCAUAUGUUCUUUAAGAUCUCAGUGAUGGAGAAAGAAAACACAGCCCCAGUGAUUUUCUUACUCAACUAAAAUAUUGACGACAUCUUUUUUCAGGUCAUGGUUCUGGCAUCGGGGACAAAAUUAUUACAUAUUCAUGAAGAAGGGGAGUAAUAAGACCUUCUGAAGUGUGUGCUGGUCAGAGGAGUGACUCAGUAAUGAGGAUUAUUAAUCACAAUUGGGUUCUUUUCUCCUCCCUCCCCAGAGCUGGAAAUGUGUUUCCCACUAGAACCAAAUUCCAUAGUCUUCAUCAACAAUCACCCAUUUCCUUGAUGUUCAUGCUGAUGUGUGAGCCAGUCCCUCCCUGCACUCAGCCUGGUCCAGGUCAGGAUCUAACCUCUUCACGAUGUGUGCAGUCCUGGUGGAUCUCACUAGUCAGUUGCCCUGCCCACCCAUCCCUCAAGAGCAAGCCAUGGGACCCAAGCGAGGCCAAUGGAACCCUCUCCUAGUGGGUUGGAUCUUGAACAAAAUGUGCAAGGAUUUAAAAAAAUGGCUGGGCCUCAUUUGUUUUAAUAGUAGUUUCUUAAUCCAGUCUAUCAUUGUUGGACAUUUGGGUUGGUUCCAAGUCUUUGCUAUUGUAAGUAGUGUCACAAUAAACAUACAUGUGCAUGUGUCUUUAUAGCAGC
rnacentral:lncRNA from 1 species